UGGCAGUUGAUAUAAUAAUGUUCACUG
rnacentral:piRNA from 1 species